AGUACAGGAUGGACCCGCGUCUGAUUAGCUAGUUGGUAAGGUAACGGCUUACCAAGGCGACGAUCAGUAGCCGACCUGAGAGGGUGAUCGGCCACAUUGGAACUGAGACACGGUCCAAACUCCUACGGGAGGCAGCAGUGGGGAAUAUUGCACAAUGGGCGAAAGCCUGAUGCAGCAACGCCGCGCGAGUGAUGAAGGCCUUCGGGUCGUAAAACUCUGUCCUCAAGGAAGAUAAUGACGGUACUUGAGGAGGAAGCCCCGGCUAACUACGUGCCAGCAGCCGCGGUAAUACGUAGGGGGCUAGCGUUAUCCG
rnacentral:rRNA from 1 species